GGACUACUGGGGUAUCUAAUCCUGUUUGCUCCCCACGCUUUCGCGCCUCAGCGUCAGUAUCUGUCCAGACAGUCGCCUUCGCCACUGAUGUUCCUUCCGAUCUCUACGCAUUUCACCGCUACACCGGAAAUUCCACUAUCCUCUACAGUACUCUAGCCUAUCAGUUUAAGAUGCAGGUCCCAGGUUAAGCCCGGGGAUUUCACAUCUCACUUGAUAAACCGCCUACGCGCCCUUUACGCCCAGUAAUUCCGAUUAACGCUCGCACCCUCUGUAUUACCGCGGCUGCUGGCAC
rnacentral:rRNA from 1 species